GGGUCGGUAUAAUCAAUAAUACGUAUUGAGGGAAGUAUGGUAUGUAAAAGUAGAGAUGAAAUUCUGAUGAAACUCUGAUUUUGAUGAAAUUCUGAAAUUGUUUUUUUUUUUCCAUUGUUUCACCCUUAUUUGAUCUACUUUAUGGUACCUAAUCAUGAUGACCCACAGAAAUUAAUAAAAAAAA